UAAUCGGCUCUUUUAAGAGCCACCAAACUGAUGUACAAAGAGGCGU
rfam:Drosophila melanogaster chromosome 3R.